GCUUGGGCACUAUGUGGCUCAGUUGGUAGAGCACCAUGUGCAGAGGCUAUAAUCCUCGAUGUCGUUGUCCGGUGUUUGAUCCCCAGUUUCGGGCU